UGCUGAGAAAAAAAUCUGCGCCAUUCUCAGCCCCGCCCCUGCUCUCUCCCGCCCCUCGACUCCACCAGCAGCCGCGUCGCCGCCGCAUCGCCGCUGCCAGAGGAGGGCGGCCCCGAGCCAUCGCCGUCGCGCCCCUCCCCUCGACCUACCCAACGUUUCCCACCCAAUCCGCUGCCUCCUCUCCUCCCCAAUCCCCUACUCUCUUCCUCAUCCAAUCCCCAAUCCCCUUCUCUCUUCCUCACCCAAAUUCGCCCGAACGGCGAGCAGGCGAAGCCGUAGGGGAUGGCAACGGUGGCGUGCGUGAGGAGGCGCCGCAGGAGCGCGUCCUGGAGGAGGCCGGCCGCGCAGAGGGUGCCCAGCGGUGCGGGAGGCGAGAUAAAUUUCCCCUCUCCCUCCACCUCUCCUCUGUUCGUCCUCUUGCUCGUACGUGAUGGCGCGCCCAUAAUCCGUCAGAAAGCAGAGAGGGGCGAUUGAUUCAGCUAGCAGCAGCACGGGACCAGCCAGCAGCCUGUUUUUUUGGAGAAGGUCGAGUCACACCGGAGGUGAGAGUCGAAUUUGGCGAGGCGUGGCGAGAUACGUGUGCCUAGAUGCCGCUGAGGGCGUCGGUGCCGGCGUGACGACCUCGCGGUGAAGAGCUCCAUGCGGCUCCUCCAUCUGCUACCAUGGAAACUAUGGCUUCUGUGCUUCAGCUCACCCCUUGCUUGUUCGCCUUUUGUGUUGUCCACUUCCAGAACGAUGGCGACACGACGAACGGACCGGCAAUUUGGUGAACAUGAAGUUUAUUUGUAGAGGUGUGUGCAGGUUGUCUUUCUGGAGGAUUGGGUUAGUUAAAUAGCCGGUGAUCUUUAUUGUGCACUCGACAAAUGGUAGUUUGAAGACUAUAUUUUAUGGAAGGGAUGUACAAUACAACCAAUUAAUCAAUGGUCGUCAAAUUGUACCACAUGAGACAUAUAUCUAUUUCAUGCAACUUCUUGCUGAAACUAUUAGAGAUGAAAUACCUGAUUGCAGUGGCCACUGGUCAGGCACAUGAUCACUUCCCAGUGAACGAUGCCGUGCAAAUGUUGAUGUUCACCUCUGACCAACAGUUUCUCAAGUACAUAUCAGUGUAAAGAUUCUUUUAUCUUGUCUUCUGUCUCAAUCAUUCUUUCUAAAUUGGGUUUCCUUGGUAAAUAAGAACAAUCAAGGACCUAUCUUCUCCAUGAUGAAAAGCCUAUUUUAGCACCUCUUGAUUAGUGUUUUAUUUCUUCUGGAGAAUUUUACACAUUGUUGUAAAAAAAUAUCUAAAAUAUAAAGAUGAAUAUUUAUGGAACAUUUUAUUAGUAAUGAUGGACUUCCAUUGCUUUAUUAUAUGUCAUAUGGGUCUGGCUCAUGCGGCCCUUCAGCCUCACCUAACACAUGACCCUCUUCGUUCCGUGUGGCACCAUGUGGUAACGAUAUUAGUUAAGUUAACUCUCAUAGUUAAAAUAGAGUUCUUUUCUUCCGAUUGAUGAACAUGUGACUGCCGUUGUUUUGCCUGUUACAUGCUUCUUAGGUCGCUGACAACAUGCUUGUUAUGUGCAGGUACAUGCUUAGUUUUUUUCUGCCGCUUUCUAUUUACCUUGAAGCUGUUGUGGCCAGCGGAUGGCCAGCAGUAGCCACCGCUGCAGUCCCGCUACCGCCGAGAGAAAACCAAAAAGAGAUCCAGUACUGCAUAUAGUUCUCAAUACCACCAAAAAAUUCAGCUGCCAAUGUUUAGGUUCUCAGGGUCAAUUGAGUUACUCAUCUUGCAGUUGAGACAAACUACAGGCUGUAGCAGAAUGAAAACUAUGAGGAAAGCUGGGGAGCCAUCAGAAGAUUUUGCUACAUACAUCCAGCAGAUAUGCUAUGACCUUUCAUGAUGUGAAUACCUAGGGAAAGAUGCUCGAGGAUGCCGGUUUCCAUAAUGUCAUCGCCGAAGACCGCACUGACCAGGUUAUCCAUAUUCUGUUCAUAUUCUUGAAAAUUGCUUGGACAAAUGUAACAAUUUCUUCAGAGGCUAACAUGAUCAUCACUGUCUACGUUGUUUGAGUUCCCGAGGGUCCUGGAGAGGUAGCUGUCUGUAACCGUACUUAUGAUGCAGAGAAUGCCCAUGUGGUGUGCUUAUGGUGUCCUUACUGGUCCCAUGGCUCAGUCAGGAGAGGAAAUCCAUUGAGUAUGUUCGCACCAGAGUAAAAGAUCUGACAAAAAAGGGAGAACACCGGGAAGAGUGUGUUGAGGGAAAGAGGAGGGCCGAGGAAUCAUCUAGCUUACUGAAGCAAAGGGUUGAUUCCUUAAAAAGUGCAACGGCAGUGCCUUAUGUUCAAGUAUUCCUAGCUACAUCGCUUCAGUUGGUCUAUUUGUUCACUGAAUGAGGUCUCUUCAGAUUGAGAUAAUUCAGACAUAAUCACUGUCAGGAAUCGAUCAAGACGAGCAUCGCAGUUAUCGAGAUCAAGUGAAGCUGCGUUAGAGCGAUGGUGCAUGUCUCACCAUGCACGGUCGCUCUCGGGAGCAUGCGCCAUCGACUCCUCUCAAUGAGUACACGAUUGGCAGACUGGCAUCACUUCUCCCAACCGUGUUGUUGCUUGCAAAGAAGGUCACCCAUGGUGGUCGUUUGCUCUGCUACUUAACGAUGCCCUUGCUGGGUUGUUUUCUUCAGGUGUGAUGGUGUUCUCUUAUCAGAGAAUGGAAAGGAGUGGUGAUGGCCUUGCGACAGUUGCCGCUUGAUGUGUUUCCAAUUCCUAAAUCUGCAGUGUUGGGUGUUUUGAUGGGUUAGCAAGCUAGGACUUUUGGAUCUUUCUUCCCAUCUGCUCUGAUCUCUCUCAUAUACAGUCAAGAUCUAGCUAUGAUGUUGCUGUCAAGGGCCCAAAGUAGUGAAUCAGAGGGACAAGAGGGCGAGGAUGCUGUUAACACAGAAAACAAAGAGAAAUAUCAAUGUUCGGAGGAAGCUUCAUCACCACUGUCCCUAGCUUCGUGCCGUCUUCCACCGCCAGGGCAGAUGUUUUAGUGCCUAUACAAGAGUACCCAACUUAUAUAUUGUUAACUGUGGAGAGACUGAUAUUGAUAUUAUAUUUAUGAAGUAAAUUCAAUGCAAUUUUUUGUCCUUCUGUACAUUGAACACAUCUUUCCUUUUCCUAUAGAAUAUGUGAAAUGACACAUUAAUGACAUAUUAUAUCCAAGUCUAUGAAAUUUACCAUGGUCAUAA